UACGGAGGGUGCAAGCGUUAAUCGGAUUUAUUGGGCGUAAAGGGGGCGCAGGCGGGAAGAUAAGUCAGAUGUGAAAGCCCAGGGCUCAACCCUGGAACAGCAUUUGAAACUAUUUUUCUUGAGGAUAGGCGGAGAAAACGGAAUUCCACAAGUAGCGGUGAAAUGCGUAGAUAUGUGGAAGAACACCCGUGGCGAAAGCGGUUUUCUAGCUUAUUCCUGACGCUGAGGCCCGAAAGCUAGGGGAGCAAACAGG
rnacentral:rRNA from 1 species